UCAAACGAAGAAAGAGCCAGAAUUUUAGCUCGUUUAGCGGGGAUUCUGAAGGCCUUAUGCCAAGGGCCUAAUGAUUUUCUUAACAAUUUGGAAACUGUGCUUAUUGAAGAGUUUAAUGGUAUCCUGGACCAGGAAGCCGUUUUUUGGCACAAAAAAUCUAGGGUGAAGUGGCUUCAAGAGGGUGACCGUAAUACCAAGUUCUUCCACAUGUCUACCAUUAUUAGAAGGAGAAAGAAUAAAAUUGACAGACUCAAGAAUGAUGGUGGAGUUUGGGUGGAAGAGGCUGAAGGUAUUAAAAAUAUGGCUAUGCACUAUUUUUCUGAUUUGUUUUCUCCUGCUCAUGUGCCAACCAGCAGAUUUGCAAUCCCAAAUCUCUUUCCUUGUAUUGAUUCUGGAGAGUUGGUUUCCUUGGCAACUACUGUUGAUAUGGAAGAAGUUAAGGCGAGUCUCUUUGGUGCCUAAAGUGGAAAAUCCUACCUCUAUGAUCAAUUUCGCCCUAUAAGUUUAUGUUGCACUGUCUACAAGGGUCUAAAGGCAAGAAAGGUUUUGUUGCAUGGAAGAUUGAUUUAUCUAAGGCCUAUCUCUUUGUUUUAUGCAUUGAGAAACUGUCCCACUACAUGAUGGUGGAUUCUGUUCGCAAAAAGAAUUGGAAGCCUGUCCAAUCUUCCCAAUCUAGGCCUUUUGUCUCUCACCUCUUCUUUGCAGAGCCUAAUCCUUUUUUCGGAGGCUAGCCCGAAGCAUGCACGGAUCAUGAAAAGAUGUUUGGAUUUGUUUUGCAAGGCUUCGGGUCAUACUGUCAAUGUUGAUGAGGCUAAUCCUUCUAACACCAAGCAAAUCAUCUUAUAGCCGGGGAGAAAAUACAUAUUUUUUUUGGCUUGGGAAUUUCCUGGUACUAGAGUGGUUAAACUGAAUGUGGAUGGUUCUUGCAUACUUGCCUCUUGGAAUAUUGGUGCUGGUGGUAUUCUUCGUGGCUGUGCUGGAGAAUGGAUUAAGGGGUUUGCAGUGAACUUGGGAAAGGGCCAAAUAAUUGAAGCUGAACUAUGGGGCUUAUUUUUUGGUCUUAAAAUGGCUUUGGAUAAAGGUAUCAAUAGGCUCAUCAUUGAAAUGGACUCAGCUCUUGGUGUACAACUUAUCCAAUAAACUGAUGUCUCUCGGUUUCACCCACUUGCUGGUUUGUUGUAGGAUUGCUGCACUCUUCUAAGGCAAUUUGAGAACUAUUGGUUUCACCCACUUGCCGAUUUUUGUACUAGUUACUCACUGUUUUCCUUGAAUAAUAUACUCUCUUUCUUU